AUGAGUUCACUAGUUUGGAACUGCCGGGAGGGGGGGGGGAACCGUCGGACAGUUCGUGAGCUUUUGGCCCUCUGCAAAGCCAAUUUCCCGGGGUUGGUUUUUCUCUCUGAAACUAGACAAGCCUCAAGCAAAAUUGAAAAGCUUAAAUGGAGAUUGCAAAUGAAGGGUUUUGCGGGUGUAUCAAGUGAUGGUUUGAGUGGGGGUUUGGCCCUAUUUUGGGAUGAG
rnacentral:rRNA from 1 species